rnacentral:rRNA from 1 species
ACUCCUACGGGAGGCAGCAGUGGGGAAUAUUGCACAAUGGGCGCAAGCCUGAUGCAGCCAUGCCGCGUGUGUGAAGAAGGCCUUCGGGUUGUAAAGCACUUUCAGUCGUGAGGAAGGUAGUGUAGUUAAUAGCUGCAGUAUUUGUACGUUAGCGACAGAAGAAGCACCGGCUAACUCCGUGCCAGCAGCCGCGGUAAUACGGAGGGUGCGAGCGUUAAUCGGAAUUACUGGGCGUAAAGCGCAUGCAGGUGGUUUGUUAAGUCAGAUGUGAAAGCCCGGGGCUCAACCUCGGAAUAGCAUUUGAAACUGGCAGACUAGAGUACUGUAGAGGGGGUUAGAAUUUCAGGUGUAGCGGUGAAAUGCGUAGAGAUCUGAAGGAAUACCGGUGGCGAAGGCGGCCCCUGGACAGAUACUGACACUCAGAUGCGAAAGCGUGGGAGCAAACAGGAUUAGAU